rnacentral:piRNA from 1 species
UGUCCUUCGAGGCUAUCUCCAUAUUUC